AGCCGCAAUAAUUAUGAUUCACUUACAAUCAGAUUUACGACAAGUUAUCACCAAACACACAUAAUCACAAUUACAACUCAUUACACUUUUUUUUUCCCACUGAUAUCUUUUAUACGCCAACUGCAUGUACACGCAAUGUGCCACUAUUUUCCUCCCAAGGCCAACACACUUACACACAUUGCUUCUACUUCCCCAACCGUCAUUUCUCUCUUUCACAUUCCUUUUCUCCACCAAUCCACACUUUUCACCAAUCACAAACAGCACAUGGACUCAUCCUAACAUCAUUCAUCUAAUCCAUUACAUGUAUCUAAUAACUUACUCGUUCAAUUAUUCCUAACAACCUAGCU
rnacentral:lncRNA from 1 species